rnacentral:rRNA from 1 species
UACGUAGGGGGCAAGCGUUAUCCGGAAUUACUUGGGCGUAAAGGGCGCGUAGGCGGCUUUGUAAGUCGGGGGUGAAAGCCUGUGGCUCAACCACAGAAUUGCCUUCGAUACUGCAUGGCUUGAGACCGGAAGAGGUUAGUGGAACUGCGAGUGUAGAGGUGAAAUUCGUAGAUAUUCGCAAGAACACCAGUGGCGAAGGCGGCUGACUGGUCCGGUUCUGACGCUGAGGCGCGAAAGCGUGGGGAGCAAACAGG